CCUACGGGAGGCAGCAGUGGAGAAUAUUGCACAAUGGGGGAAACCCUGAUGCAGCGACGCCGCGUGAGUGAAGAAGUAUUUCGGUACGUAAAACUCUAGCAGCAGGGAAGAAAAUGACAGUACCUGACUCAGAAGCGCCGGCUAACUACGUGCCAGCAGCCGCGGUAGUACGUAGGGAGCAAGCGUGAUCCGGAUUUACUGGGUGUAAAGGGAGCGUAGACGGCAGCGCAAGUCUGGAGUGAAAUCCGAUGGCUUAACCAUGGAACUGCUUUGGAAACUGUGCAGCUGGAGUGGAGGAGAGGUAAGCGGAAUUCCUAGUGUAGCGGUGAAAUGCGUAGAUAUUAGGAGGAACACCAGUGGCGAAGGCGGGUUACUGGACUGUAACUGACGUUGAGGCUCGAAGGCGUGGGGAGCAAACGGGAUUAGAUACCCGAGUAGUC
rnacentral:rRNA from 1 species